CACCGCCGCACGGGGAGGGAGAGGUGUAGUGCGGCUGGAUGCGCGGUCAGAAUUAAAUCCGACCGCGACCUACAGCCGGAGCUUAAGAUGGCCGUUGGGGGCGUUCUGACUGGGCGCGCAUGCGCGGACGGGCCAAAUGCCGGCGAAAUUAAAGUGAUACCUGGACAGACCCUCAGACCGGCCAAGUCCCUGAAUAUCAGGGCAGUUAGAAUAAG